rnacentral:misc_RNA from 1 species
UCCGAGUUGACCCCGGCAGUCUCCUGCGAGUCCCCGCCAUUACGCGCUGGCAACACAGGACAAGGGUUGCGCUCGUUGCGGGACUUAACCCAACAUCUCACGACACGAGCUGACGACAGCCAUGCAGCACCUGUGCAAGCUCCCCUUGCGGGGUCGUCCCUCUUUCAAGGUUCUACCACUUGCAUGUCAAGGCCAGGUAAGGUUCUUCGCGUUGCAUCGAAUUAAGCCACAUACUCCACCGCUUGUGCAGGCCCCCGUCAAUUUCUUUGAGUUUUAGCCUUGCGGCCGUACUCCCCAGGCGGGGCGCUUAAUGCGUUAGCUGCGACACCGAGGGGCAAGCCCCCCGACAUCUAGCCCACAUCGUUUAGGGCGUGGACUAC